CAUGUAGGCGGCAUGACAAGUCUGGUGUGAAAUAUCUCGGCUCAACCGAGAAAACGCACUGGAAACUAUCAAGCUUGAGUAUCGGAGGGGAAGCUAGAAUUCCUGGUGUAGGGGUGAAAUCUGUAGAUAUCAGAAAGAAUACCGGUGGCGAAGGCGAGCUUCUGGCCAGAUACUGACGCUGAGAUGCGAAAGCGUGGGGAACGAACAGGAUUAGAUACCCUGGUAGUCC
rnacentral:rRNA from 1 species